rnacentral:rRNA from 1 species
UACGAAGGGGGCUAGCGUUGCUCGGAAUCACUGGGCGUAAAGGGUGCGUAGGCGGGUCUUUAAGUCAGGGGUGAAAUCCUGGAGCUCAACUCCAGAACUGCCUUUGAUACUGAAGAUCUUGAGUUCGGGAGAGGUGAGUGGAACUGCGAGUGUAGAGGUGAAAUUGUGAGAUAUUCGCAAGAACACCAGUGGCGAAGGCGGCUCACUGGACCGGUACUGACGCUGAUGCGCGAAAGCGUGGGGAGCAAACGGG